GCGUUGCGAGUGCAAAAAAUUUUAGGAUAUAUAUAGUAUAUAUAUUCAAAAUUUUUUGAGAAUUUUUAUUUAAGUUGACCUAAUAAUACAAACAAACAAAAAGUCAUUGAAUUUUAGGAAUUUUAAAACCAUUGGGAAUUCCGCAGAUUACAUGGUACCAUUGAGCUAGCUAACCUUAUUAUGUAUCAAUAUUUAAUGUAUCUAUAAAAAUAAUAAUGUUUUAUUGUAGGUUGAUGACUAAUGGUUUACAAUCAAAGUUUAACAUGGCUGGUGGCAAGGGUAAAGAGAAAUUUGAAGGCACAAACAUUUGUGAGGUUGUUGUUGAGUGCGUCAUGUUAAGUAAAGCAACUGCUACAGUUGCUGAAGUCAGAAAAAAUAUCAUGAAUAUAUUGAAACAUGCACCCGAUAGAUCAAAAUGGUGGUGGUCGGGGCAUUAAUGACAACUCAGAUAUAUAGUUAUAUGUUAACAAAAAAUGUAUAUAUAUAAUGUUAA